rnacentral:rRNA from 1 species
GACGAACGCUGGCGGCGUGCUUAACACAUGCAAGUCGAGCGGUAGCACAGAGAGCUUGCUCUCGGGUGACGAGCGGCGGACGGGUGAGUAAUGCUUAGGAAUCUGCCUAUUAGUGGGGGACAACAUUCCGAAAGGAAUGCUAAUACCGCAUACGUCCUACGGGAGAAAGCAGGGGAUCUUCGGACCUUGCGCUAAUAGAUGAGCCUAAGUCGGAUUAGCUAGUUGGUGGGGCAAAGGCCUACCAAGGCGACGAUCUGUAGCGGGUCUGAGAGGAUGAUCCGCCACACUGGGACUGAGACACGGCCCAGACCCCUACGGGAGGCAGCAGUGGGGAAUAUUGGACAAUGGGGGGAACCCUGAUCCAGCCAUGCCGCGUGUGUGAAGAAGGCCUUAUGGUUGUAAAGCACUUUAAGCGAGGAGGAGGCUACUUUAGUUAAUACCUAGAGAUAGUGGACGUUACUCGCAGAAUAAGCACCGGCUAACUCUGUGCCAGCCGCCGCAGUAA